UCCUCGGUAGCUCAAAGGAAGAGCACCUGACUGUUAAUCAGGUUGUUGCAGGUUCGAGUCCUGCCCGAGGAG
rnacentral:tRNA from 1 species